rnacentral:lncRNA from 1 species
AGCCUACACAUCCUGCCAGACGCACCGCCACGCGCCACCACAGGAGGCGGCGAGUGGGCCCCACGCGCCACCACAAAUUUCCGAAUUAGGGCAAACUCCCAACACAAAAACUUGUAGAAUACUACAAGGGGGACACUUUUCAUACCUGAAGGUCCAACCAGUUAGGCCGGAAUCGGCCGGAAAUCACCGAAACUCGUCGGAAAAUUUUGGAAUCCACCACCGCCACUCUCUGCCGUGAGUCGCGCUCCAAGGCCACCAGAAGUCGAACCAGGAUGCCAAGGGCCUUCUAUCCCGACCGGUCUCCCGCCUUGUCGCCGCCACCGGAUGUUUGAAACCCGACCGGGUCUCUAACCCGAACUUCCGAGCUUCGGGUCACCACCUCGGGACCGAAACGGCGCACAUCACCACCACAGGUCAGCUCGGACGGAGGAGAGGAAGAGAACCCGACCGGUGCCGUCGUCUGGGUCGGUCGGAGUUGGUCGGAAAAACCGGGUCGGGUCACCGGGUCCGGGUUGGGUCGGCUGGAGGACUUGGGUUCUCUCGGGGUCGGGGAGGGAGAAGAAAGGGGAAGAAAAUGGUUUCUGAAAAUUAUGAGGACCCAAAACGAAAACUUUCCUAUUUAACCCAAAAUAUUCCCAAAAAACCACAAUUUCCGCUGACCAUAACUUCCACAUACGAAGUCCGUUUUACGCGUGCCACGUGUCUACGAACUCGUAUCGUCGUGCUCUACAACUUUCGUGAAGGAAGUUUCUCGAGAAACCCAACAGAUUUGAAAGUCAACUUUUGACCCCUCAGAACCAUAAGACCGCUUCGGGUAAUUAUGCGUCCAAACGCUUCCGCUCUUCUUUCGUACCUCAAAACAUACUAACUUCUAACUCAAAAAUUCUCAAUUAAUAUUAGAAACUAAUAUCAAAUUUCCGAGGUAUUACAAAUGGAGGAUUAGAGGCAGCCAUUUUGGGUCUCUAAGUUCGACGACUUUGGAAAGUUGUCAUCCCUUGAACUAAGGAUUAGUUGAGGGUUUUGUGAAAACCUAUGGUAUUUUAGUUACUAAGGUUUUUAAUUGUGUGUUUUAGGUGUUUUGUGAAGUGGUGUUUUUGGCUUGCUCUUGUUGUUGUGGAAUUUGCAGCGGGAGAUUUAGGUGAGUAAAUCUCACCAAGGUUCACUUUUGAACCAAAUUUAAUUAUGGUCAUGUGAUGAUGAUAAUGAUGAUGAUGUUGGAUUUAAUAUUAUUCUUUUAAUUGUUUUAAAAAUAUAUGAGCUUGAUCGCCAACGGCUCAUAGGUAAGAUAAAAAUAAG